rnacentral:rRNA from 1 species
GACGAACGCUGGCGGCGUGCUUAACACAUGCAAGUCGGACGGUUGGCACUGGAAGGUUCGCUGGAAGGUGCUGAUAGUGGCGGACGGGUGAGUAACGCGUGAGGACAUGUCUGCAGGAGGGGGAUAACGUUUGGAAACGGACGCUAAGACCCCGUAAGCCGGGAGGUGAAAGUGGCGAAAGCCAGCCUGUGGAGUGACUCGCGUCCUAUCAGCUAGUUGGCGGGGUGAAGGCCCACCAAGGCGAUGACGGGUAGCCGACCUGAGAGGGUGGCCGGCCACACUGGAACUGAGAUACGGGCCAGACUCCUACGGGAGGCAGCAGUGGGGAAUAUUGGGCAAUGGGCGGAAGCCUGACCCAGCGACGCCGCGUGGGGGAAGAAGUCUUUCGGGAUGUAAACCCUUGUUGUACGGGACGAAGGAAGUGACGGUACCGUACGAGGAAGCCCCGGCAAACUACGUGCCAGCCGCCGCAGUAAAAC